GCGAAAUAUGGCUCCGGCCACUAGAAAUUCGGAAGUUUCAGAAAUGUAAGAAAACCGUGGAUUUUUGGAUCUUUAAAGGAGUUUUGAGAAGCAUUUAAAAAAAAAAAUCAGCAGCCAUACCCGAUACAACUGGAUGACAGGAUCGAUAAGCUUUGCCUAGAGAAGCAUCCUGGGAAACUGGAGAUGCUGUCAGUAGCCGGAGGGCCACAGUUGACAGGAAUGUGGCUGCAGCAUGAAGACCUGCUUUAUGAGACUCUGCAGAGGAGUCAUGCACAGAAACAGCAUAACCAUGCAACAGUCAUCAUCACAAAUCACUCAACAAACAGGAAGUGUAACGUUGCCACGGAGACAGU